rnacentral:rRNA from 1 species
UACAGAGGUCCCAAGCGUUGUUCGGAUUCACUGGGCGUAAAGGGUGCGCAGGUGGGUUUGCAAGUUUGAUGUGAAAGCCCCGGGCUUAACCCGGGAAUGGCAUUGAAUACUGCAGAUCUGGAGGAUUGGAGGGGGGACUGGAAUUCUUGGUGUAGCAGUGAAAUGCGUAGAUAUCAAGAGGAACACCGAUGGCGAAGGCAGGUCUCUGGGCAUUAACUGACGCUGAGGAGCGAAAGCAUGGGGAGCGAACAGG